rnacentral:tRNA from 1 species
GCCGGAGUGGUGGAAUGGCAGACACGUCGCACUCAAAAUGCGAUGCCCUCUGGGCGUGCCGGUUCGAGUCCGGCCUCCGGUACCA